GCGGACGUGGUGCACGGCGCACGGCUGCCAUGCAUAGGUGGCAUUCACAAUGUGAAACAGUCAGACGGGGUUCGACUCCCCGCGUCCGCA